AACGUAGGUGGCGAGCGUUAUCCGGAUUUACUGGGCGUAAAGCGUGUGCAGGCGGGGGGUCAAGUGGGGUAUGAAAUCUCCGGGCUAAACCUGGAGGGGUUAUGCCAGACUGUCAUUCUAGAGUGCGAGAGAGGGGCGUGGAAUUCCGGGUGUAGUGGUGAAAUUCGUAGAUAUUCGGAAGAACACCAGUGGCGAAGGCGGCUCACUGGACUGGUAUUGACGCUGAGGUGCGAAAGCGUGGGGAGCAAACAGG
rnacentral:rRNA from 1 species